rnacentral:rRNA from 1 species
AUUGAACGCUGGCGGCAGGCCUAACACAUGCAAGUCGAGCGGAGCGGCGGACGGGUGAGUAAUGCCUAGGAAUCUGCCUGGUAGUGGGGGAUAACGUCCGGAACCGGGCGCUAUUACCGCAUUCUAUCAGUGACGCCUAGGCCGGAUUAGCUAGUUGGUGGGGUAAAGUCCUACCAAGGCGACGAUCUGUAACUGGCCUGAGAGGAUGAUCAGUCCCACUGGAACUGAGACACGGUCCAGACUCCUACGGGAGGCAGCAGUUGGGAAUAUUGGGCAAUGGGCGAAAGCCUGAUCCAGCCAUGCCGCGUGUGUGAAGAAGGUCUUCGGAUUGUAAAGCACUUUAAGUUGGGAGGCGUUACCAACAGAAUAAGCACCGGCUAACUCCGUGCCAGCAGCCGCGGUAAUAC